GAUGAACGCUGACAGAAUGCUUAACACAUGCAAGUCUACUUGAACUUCGGUUUGGGUGGCGGACGGGUGAGUAACGCGUAAAGAACUUGCCUCACAGUUAGGGACAACAUUUGGAAACGAAUGCUAAUACCUGAUAUUAUGAUUUUAGGGCAUCCUAAGAUUAUGAAAGCUAUAUGCACUGUGAGAGAGCUUUGCGUCCCAUUAGCUAGUUGGAGAGGUAACGGCUCACCAAGGCGAUGAUGGGUAGCCGGCCUGAGAGGGUGAACGGCCACAAGGGGACUGAGACACGGCCCUUACUCCUACGGGAGGCAGCAGUGGGGAAUAUUGGACAAUGGACCAAAAGUCUGAUCCAGCAAUUCUGUGUGCACGAUGACGUUUUUCGGAAUGUAAAGUGCUUUCAGUUGGGAAGAAAAAAAUGACGGUACCAACAGAAGAAGUGACGGCUAAAUACGUG
rnacentral:rRNA from 1 species